GGGUCGUUAGUUCAGUGGUAGAACACCGCCCUCUUAAGGCGGGUGUCGCUGGUUCGAGUCCAGCACGACCCA
rnacentral:tRNA from 1 species